GACGAACGCUGGCGGCGUGCUUAACACAUGCAAGUCGAACGAAGAGCGCUGGAAGCUUGCUUCUAUCAAUCUUAGUGGCGAACGGGUGAGUAACGCGUAAUCAACCUGCCCUUCAGAGGGGGACAACAGUUGGAAACGACUGCUAAUACCGCAUACGAUCUAACCUCGGCAUCGAGGAAAGAUGAUAGGUGGCUUCUAUGUAUAAGCCAUCACUGAAGGAGGGGAUUGCGUCUGUUUAGUUCGUUGGAGGGGUAACGGCGCACCAAGGCGAUGAUCAGUAGCCGGUCGGAGAGGAUGAGCGGCCACAUUGGGAGUGAGACACGGCCCAGAGUCCUACGGGAGGCAGCAGUGGGGAAUCUUCCGCAAUGGACGAAAGUCUGACGGAGCAACGCCGCGUGAGUGAUGACGGCCUUCGGGUUGUAAAGCUCUGUUAAUCGGGACGAAAGGCCUUCUUGCGAAUAGUGAGAAGGAUUGACGGUACCGGAAUAGAAAGCCACGGCUAACUACGUG
rnacentral:rRNA from 1 species